rnacentral:rRNA from 1 species
CGGCGAAAGCCGGAUUAAUACCGCAUACGAUCUACGGAUGAAAGCGGGGGACCUUCGGGCCUCGCGCUAUAGGGUUGGCCGAUGGCUGAUUAGCUAGUUGGUGGGGUAAAGGCCUACCAAGGCGACGAUCAGUAGCUGGUCUGAAAGGACGACCAGCCACACUGGGACUGAGACACGGCCCAGACUCCUACGGGAGGCAGCAGUGGGGAAUUUUGGACAAUGGGCGAAAGCCUGAUCCAGCAAUGCCGCGUGUGUGAAGAAGGCCUUCGGGUUGUAAAGCACUUUUGUCCGGAAAGAAAUCCUUGGCUCUAAUACAGUCGGGGGAUGACGGUACCGGAAGAAUAAGCACC